UCUUCCUUUCCACCCGCGCCGCACAAGGAUGGAUAAGGUGAGCGCUCUGAGCUACGGAGCAGUGGAAAAAAGGCUUCCUCUUAUCUAGCAAGCGAGGUCGAGGCUGGCCGCGAUUAUCUGGCGAGCGAGGUCGAGGCUGGCCGCGAUGCAGACGACGCCGGGCGCGGAGGCGGCUAUCUCCGGCCAGAUCCGGUCGAGGAGGCGCGGCAGGGGCUGGAUCCUGUGCCGGCGACGGCGUGGAUGCGAUCUACGAGGCGCAUGAGGAGGUCCAAUGGUGGGGCUUCAAUUCCAAGUUCAUCGCGCCGACGUUCCUCGCCGGUACCGAGCGAGAUGGCUAGCUCCGGCGAAGUCUUUCCAUCAAUACGGUGGCUCUGUACCUGUGAGAGAGACAUAGGUGAGGGGAGAGGCAGGGAGGAGAGGGUCUGAGGAGCCACAGGGAAGUCUUGGUGGUGCCCGCCUCCUACAGCAGCACUGGUGAGUGCGGCCAAAGAGAGAGAGAUGAGAGAGAGCCAGGAGGAAGAAGGAAAGGAAGGAGACUUCAGGAAGGGGUGGCGGGAUCCUGCGGUGCUGGGUUCGAGCUCCGUUGGUGGUGCUACUGCUGCUGUUGGACAAUGGCCGAUGGGACUUGGUAAGAGAAAAACAUGGACUUGGUAAGUCCUUCUCCCUUCUUUGAUUAAUAUUGGGAUUCCGUUGCUAUUUGAUGGAGAGCAGCCACCAAAAAUUCCUCUCUUGAGCAACGCUCCCUCCCUCCCUCCCUCUCGAAUCUGAUUCAUCACAAGAAUAUCAACAGGCAACAUCCUACCUCCAGAAUGUUUGGGGCCCCUAGGUAUUUGACUGAAUAGCACGGGCUCGCGUGUGUAUGUCACCAUGACAGUACUGCACUUCAAGAUUUCAUAAGUUUAAUCUUUAGUUCUAACAUUAUCUUUUGUGCAGAUAAGGAUGGCAGUAGAAGAGCUUGACGACAAUGAAUGACAACCAUAUGGACAUUUUUUUAGUAGCCAAUGAAUAUAGGCCAGUGAGCCAUGGAUUUUGGUUUGCUCCUUUUCUCCUUUAUGUGAUGAGGCAAGGAACAUGCUAAAGGGGAUAUUGUCAAUGCUGCAUAAUUAUGUUGUAUGAUGUUUACAUAUUUUCGGACCUCAUCUCAGUACAAUUCUGUAUUUAUUUUGGGGCCUAAUGGUGUUUAGUUCAUUAACUUUUUCUGUUCAUAUACACGAAUAGCAGGAUUUCAGGCCAGUAGACUGUUACACCAGCAGUUUCAUUUAACUUUUAUUCAUUAACAGUGAGAGAAAGAUAUCCUGACAAUUUGUCCGCUGGAAAAUCUUACGUACUAUUUGUUUCAUGUAGGUUCUAGAAUUGCUUGAGGUUGUACAGUUUAGAUGUCCAGACACUUCAAUGAAAUACUCUCAGUUGCUUUCAAAUCUGAGAGUUGGAUUGAAGGUGUGCAUUUGAACGUGUGAAAUUAUUAUUUUGAUUUUUGGUCUCUCACCAGCUUGUUGAUUCUUAGCUUGAAGAGAUCCUAUAGAAUUCUGCAACAUCUGAAUUUGGUGGUGUAUAUUGUUUUUCGGAGAGAGGUGAUCGACAGAUUGAUCUGGAUGCGUUCCAUCAAAAUCUUAUCCAAGUUGCGUGGUCAGUCCUGUUCAUAUCGGGUUUUGAGAUUAUUAAGUUGCUUAUUUUGAAGUUCAGAUGUCACAAAAACUGCACACAAUUGAGCGAGUCUAAGAAAGAAGAGCUAAAAGAAUCGUUCCAUCACAUGCUGAAAUGGGCCCGGAGAUAUAACAAAAAUCUUGAAACAGGCAGCCCAGCUUGAAACUAGCUGGUCUGAAAUUCUUCAAAUGAGUUGUGUGUGUGCAUGACCACUUAAUCUUUUCAGUUGGAAAUUGGAUAUAGUAACCCGCUUGUUGUUAAUUUCAGCUAGCUGUAUCAAGAAGGAUGUCAUUGCUUGAGGAUCGUUCACAGUUAUUGUUUGAGUGAGUUUAGCCUCCCUUCUCGUAGAAUGUACUCCGGUUAUUUAGAAGAGACUGUCACAUGUGAGGAUGAAAGCGUGGAUCAACUCCUGUAGUAGAUAUCUUUCAUUUGCAGCCAAGUUUAGUUAUGGUUAUAGGAUGGAAACUUUGUAUUAUUUUGCCAUCUUCUUUCCUUUGUGAAACUAGCUGCAACAGUUAGGAGUUUAAAUUGAUGCGAGGAAGUAAGUAACACAAACUGCAUUCUUCUUAUUUAUUAUUCCCUCGGAACAGAUUUUUCAAUUCAUGAUCAGGUCGUAUUGACACAUACUCUUGGGAUUUCUAUGUAUCUUAUCUUAGUUUUGGGGAUUUUAACAUAAGCAUGGUAUGAUGCUCUAGAGUCGACGACAAGUGCUAUCAUCAUGAGGCCAGACAAGUCGUUGUGCCAAUCCAAUGACUUUCCAUUUCCAACAAUGGAAAGUCAUCCGAAGAAUCAUGUCUCGGUGAGUAGUCCAGCUCCAGCAACAAGACCACAUCUGGUUUCCACCAAGAAGCUGGACCAGCGGCAUUGUACUCAGGAGUACUAUUUCUUCUUUUUCUUCAGUAGUUAAGGGCGUAUUUCAGAGGGGAGCAUACGUAUUACUGUGAUUCCCUUGAGUUUCGUGUGCUGCAUUACCGUUAUAAGUUACCAGCAGCAAAGAAAGAGAGUCACGUACUAAUACAUGAUAAGGACAAGUGCACUGAGGAAUAAGUAUGCAGAGAAGCUUUGAUUCAUCACCAUCUACAUAUACUUAGAAUAUAACUCACAAGAUUCCGUCAUGGCCAAGUAAGUGUAUGAGUGCAAUUGGGUUCCUUCUCGCGUCACAGAGGCUGAACUGGACGAUUUAGUCCUGAUUGGUGCUUUAGGCAGUAAGGACACAAUCCAUUGGAGGGCUCCUGGCAAAGAAUGCCCUCCCUCACCUCGAGAAGGAGAGGUUGUUGUUUUCGUAGAUCACUUAGCUCGGGGCUUUAAGCCGCCCGGUUCUAAAUUUUAUCGGGAUGUCUUAGCCAAUUUCCAGCUCCAUCCACAAGAUACUGGCCCCAACUCUGUUACAAAUAUGUGUCACUUCCAAGUGCUCUGUGAAGCGUUCUUUCAAGAGGAGCCCACAGUGGAACUGUUCAGAGACCUAUUCCAUCUAAACCGUCAUACUGAAUUUACUGACGGCUCCAAUACAGAGUUGGGUGGUGUGGCGAUUCAGAAAAGGAAAGAGGUCACAUACCCUCAUGCAAAACUGCAUAGCCACCCCAAAGAAUGGAAUCAGACAUGGUUCUACUGCAAAGACACCUCCCCUGCUGGUGAGAAUCCCUUGCCCGGCUUUCGACCGGAGCGGCUCAGCAACACACACCCUUCUCCACAGAGAUUGACUGCACAUGAGAGAAGUAAAUAUGCUCCUCAGCUAUCAAAGCUCAGAGCUUUUAUGGCCAACGGUUUAACAGGGGUUGAUCUUGCUCGCUGUUGGAUAUCAUGGAGCAUACUGCCUCUUAGUCUGCGCUCCGGUUUGAUGUGCCAGUAUACUGAUCGUGUUGAUGACCCACUGCGACACUCAAGACUCCAGCUCUCUGGUGAAGAAAUCACAGAGGCUGUGCAUAAGAUACUGAAUGAACCGGAACACAUAUGUGCCAGAACCGGCCUGCUUCCCUUCUGUGCCACCAACAAACCGCCAGCUGGCGAUGAUCCGUUUUGGAGAAAAAACUGUCGCAGGAGAAGCCAGAAAAACCAGACAAAACGGAAAGAGCAGCCCGGCAAAAGACUAAAGCUGUGAAGAAGACUGCCCAUAAGAAAAGAACCACCGCCUCUUCUAAUCCAGCUCCUGACGACGAGGUUGAUAAUCCGGAUUUUGAGGAUGAUGUCGAAGCCAGCCACGCGGAUGUUGCCGAGAUAAUUAUUCUCUCUUCCGAUUCAGAAACCUUGCCUUCACAAAAAAUCCGUCAGGCAAACCGGAAAGUUAAAUUUUCUCAUCCUCUUGCUUAUUUGGAUCCUAAACUUCUUAUGAAGACCCAACAACAUUAAGCUCGCCGUACCACCCGGCACAACGGCCAGGUAGUUAUCUCCGCCGGUUUACUGAACAGUCCGGUUCGGAAGCGCCAUUCCGAGGUUACUUCCCACUCAUCUUCUGGCGAGUCAUCGGCUACUCAGCUCCCACCGCUCAAAAUGGUGUUUGGGGCCAAACCUAGGCCAAGCAAGAAGGCCUGCCUGGACAAAGCGGCCGAAGAGGAUGUCGUUCUUGAAGCGGACAAGACACCCAACGCUGAAGCAGCUAUUCCUGUGGAUAUUCCCAACGAUCCACCGCAAUAAGAUGAUGAUCUUAUUGUAGAAGAGAGACCCAUUGACACCUCAGAUCCUACCCAUUAGCCUACAGGUUCCAUCCGGAUUGAAAGCUCCACCGGUCCAGCAAAGCCUACUGACAAGCCAACAACUCCAGUGCAAACCGGCGGUACCAAAGAUGAUGAGGUUGUUAUUACUUGUACUGGCCAUACUGAGCCAAACAAUCCUGUCGCUUUAUCCAAACAUUCUGCCAAGGAAGAACUUGCUGCCUUUGGUAAAGGCAAGUGGAACGCUGAUCUGACGACUUACGCUGCUCCGAACGCCCAAGAUAUCCAUUCCGGCUAUCUGAACCGGCUGUAUACCAGCCGUGACUAUGAAGCCGGUCUGGUCAAUAUGAUGAAAGACAAAUAUGAGGCGGAGCUGAAGACGAAAGAGAACCAAGUCAUCGAUCUUCAAGAAGCCCUGAAAACCCAACAAGCUGAAACCUCCAAAGCAAAAGGGAAUUGACCAGUGCUUUAAGCGCCAUGGAACAACUUAUGGAAAACUUCAAAAAGAAACGGGCGGACUGGGCCACUGAGAAAUCCGCUUUGAUCAAACGAGCAGAGGAUGCUGAGGCUGCACUAAAACCAGUGGCAGAUGAACUGACCAGCAUAAAGCGGCACGUGCAUGCCAUGACUGCUGCUAUCUUUGGGACACGCAUUGGUCAUUUGGGGUCAGAUGUACGGAAGAAGCUAAAAGCCGCCUAUACAUUGGUUCAACAAUUGUAUACUGGUGCCCAGCGGAUCAUCUGUACCGCCUCUCAUAACAAACUGGCGCCUACUUUGAUUCAAGAUACUCUGAUGAAACUGUCGGUGCUUCCUGCCCGGAUUGAAGAGCUAAAGAAAUCUGCUGCUCGAACCGGCGCAAUCAAUGCUUUAAUCCGGGCAAAAGCCUGGGUGCCGGAUUUUGAUCCUGUUGAAGCGGCUCAGGGCUAUCCCAGUUUGAAGGAAGACGGAUCAGAAUUCGGUGAAGCGGAUCUGCGAGCGAUAAACCGGGAAGUGCGUCCACUAGCUUGUCAGUUGGCUGAGGAAGCAGACUUGUCUCGUUAUCAAGCGUAAUAUGACAGUCAGAACAAGCGAAUAGCUGCGCCAAUCCAUGAAUCGGAAAAUCUGAUUCGUCCAAUCCGUAAGCAUACGUACGCUCUCGAUAUUGACCCGUCCUUGCUGAUCCACGAUGAAACUGUUUUUCAAGCAUUAGUGGGAAUCGACUGUACAACUGUGGAUUUCCAGCCACUGGGUAGGGAUACGGAGGCUGAAGCGGCGCAGGACGAUCCACAACCAUCAGGCCAGGCUGGUGACCAAGCUUGAACCGGACGCCGGUUUAAAACUGCAUCUUCUUCGCAAAAAACAAUUAUAUUAUUAUGGGCAUCAUGUUUCCUUGUAAUAGGCUAGCUGAUACCUUUGAUGUUGAUAUGCCUUCGUGCAUAAUUUGUUCUUCCUGUGGCAAUGAACUUUCCAAAACACUUUCUGAAA